GACGAACGCUGGCGGCGUGCUUAACACAUGCAAGUCGAGCGGUAAGGCCCUUUCGGGGGUACACGAGCGGCGAACGGGUGAGGAAUACAUGGGUAACCUACCCUCGAGUGGGGAAUAACUAGCCGAAAGGUUAGCUAAUACCGCGUACGCUCCUUGGACUUCGGUUCAGGGAGGAAAGCGAUACCGUGGGUAUCGCGCUCUUGGAUGGGCUCAUGUCCUAUCAGCUUGUUGGUGAGGUAACGGCNCACCAAGGCUUCGACGGGUAGCUGGUCUGAGAGGACGAUCAGCCACACUGGCACUGCGACACGGGCCAGACUCCUACGGGAGGCAGCAGUAAGGAAUAUUGCGCAAUGGGCGGAAGCCUGACGCAGCGACGCCGCGUGGGGAUGAAGGUCUUCGGAUUGUAAACCCCUUUCGGGAGGGAAGAUGGAACGAGCAAUCGUUCGGACGGUACCUCCAGAAGCAGCCACGGCUAACUUCGUGCCAGCAGCCGCGGUAAG
rnacentral:rRNA from 1 species